CCUACGGGAGGCAGCAGUGGGGAAUAUUGCACAAUGGGGGAAACCCUGAUGCAGCGACGCCGCGUGAGUGAAGAAGUAAUUCGUUAUGUAAAGCUCUAUCAGCAGGGAAGAAAAUGACGGUACCUGAGUAAUAAGCCCCGGCUAACUACGUGCCAGCAGCCGCUGUAUUACGUAGGGGGCAAACGUUAUCCGGAUAUACUGGGUGGAAAGGGAGCGUAGACGGCAGUGCAAGUCUGGAGUGAAAGGCGCGGGCUCAACCCCCGGACUGCUCGGGAAACUGUACCGCUGGAGUGCAGGAGAGGUAAGUGGAAGUCCUAGUGUAGCGGUGAAAUGCGUAGAUAUUAGGAGGAACACCAGUGGCGAAGGCAGCUUACUGGACUGUAACUGACGUUGAGGCACGAAAGCGUGGGGAGCAAACAGGAUUAGAUACCCCUGUAGUC
rnacentral:rRNA from 1 species